UGGGGAAUCUUGCGCAAUGGGGGAAACCCUGACGCAGCGACGCCGCGUGCGGGAUGAAGGCCUUCGGGUUGUAAACCGCUUUCAGCAGGGACGAGGCCUUAUGGUGACGGUACCUGCAGAAGAAGCUCCGGCUAAAUACGUGCCAGCAGCCGCGGUAAUACGUAUGGAGCAAGCGUUAUCCGGAUUCAUUGGGCGUAAAGCGCUCGUAGGCGGUCUGUUAGGUCGGCAAGUUAAAUCCGGGGGCUCAACCCCCGUCCGCUUCCGAUACCGGCAGACUUGAGUUUGGUAGGGGAAGGUGGAAUUCCUAGUGUAGCGGUGGAAUGCGCAGAUAUUAGGAGGAAUACCGGUGGCGAAGGCGACUUUCUGGCCAUAAACUGACGCUGAGGUACGAAAGCGUGGGUAGCAAACAGG
rnacentral:rRNA from 1 species